AUGUCUACUAAACAUUUCAUAACCCUUCUAGCUCUAUCCUUUCUUCUUUCACUAAACUCCCUACACACCAUCAUGGCUGCAAGGACCAUUCCUAGUAGUGCUCCUAGCACUGUCACAAGGCCACUUUUUUCAUCUCAAGCUGAAAAUUAUUUGAAGCCUCAUUUGGAUCAUAAGCAAGGAUUCUUCCAAGGGAGACAAGUUAAGAAUUGUUUGCCAAAAGGGUAUAGGCAUAACUCAGCUCCAAGCAGAUUUGUUAACUAUGAUACAUUAGGUGGAUGUUCUGGAAUCCGUUCGGAGAAACCAUGA